GAUGAACGCUGACAGAAUGCUUAACACAUGCAAGUCAACUUGAACUUCGGUUUGGGUGGCGGACGGGUGAGUAACGCGUAAAGAACUUGCCUCACAGAUAGGGACAACAUUUGGAAACGAAUGCUAAUACCUGAUAUUAUGAUUUUAGGGCAUCCUAGGAUUAUGAAAGCUAUAUGCGCUGUGAGAGAGCUUUGCGUCCCAUUAGCUAGUUGGAGAGGUAACGGCUCACCAAGGCGAUGAUGGGUAGCCGGCCUGAGAGGGUGAUCGGCCACAAGGGGACUGAGACACGGCCCUUACUCCUACGGGAGGCAGCAGUGGGGAAUAUUGGACAAUGGACCAAGAGUCUGAUCCAGCAAUUCUGUGUGCACGAUGAAGUUUUUCGGAAUGUAAAAUGCUUUCAGUUGGGAAGAAAAAAAUGACGGUACCAACAGAAGAAGUGACGGCUAAAUACGUG
rnacentral:rRNA from 1 species